rnacentral:rRNA from 1 species
UACGUAGGGUGCAAGCGUUGUCCGGAAUUAUUGGGCGUAAAGAGCUCGUAGGCGGUCUGUCGCGUCGGCUGUGAAAACUCGGGGCUCAACUCCGAGCUUGCAGUCGAUACGGGCAGGCUAGAGUUCGGCAGGGGGGACUGGAAUUCCUGGUGUAGCGGUGAAAUGCGCAGAUAUCAGGAGGAACACCGGUGGCGAAGGCGGGUCUCUGGGCCGAUACUGACGCUGAGGAGCGAAAGCGUGGGGAGCGAACAGG